rnacentral:rRNA from 1 species
GACGAACGCUGGCGGCGUGCUUAACACAUGCAAGUCGAACGGAAAGGCUCCAGCUUGCUGGAGUACUCGAGUGGCGAACGGGUGAGUAACACGUGGGUAAUCUGCCCUGCACUCUGGGAUAAGCCUGGGAAACUGGGUCUAAUACUGGAUAUGACCUUUCUCCUUAUGGGGUUUGGUGGAAAGUUUUUCGGCGUAGGAUGAGCCCGCGGCCUAUCAGCUUGUUGGUGGGGUGAUGGCCUACCAAGGCGACGACGGGUAGCCGGCCUGAGAGGGUGAUCGGCCACAUUGGGACUGAGAUACGGCCCAGACUCCUACGGGAGGCAGCAGUGGGGAAUAUUGCACAAUGGGCGGAAGCCUGAUGCAGCGACGCCGCGUGAGGGAUGACGGCCUUCGGGUUGUAAACCUCUUUCAGCAGGGACGAGGCGUAAGUGACGGUACCUGCAGAAGAAGCACCGGCUAACUACGUG